AAUCAACGCUGGCGGCGUGCCUAACACAUGCAAGUCGAGCGCGAAAGCGGGGCAACCCGCAAGUAGAGCGGCGAACGGGUGAGUAACGCGUGGGUGAUCUACCUCCGAGUGGGGAACAACAUCGGGAAACUGGUGCUAAUACCGCAUGACAUCCUCAGGUCACACUGAGGAUCAAAGCCGGGGACCGUAAGGCCUGGCGCUUGGAGAGGAGCCCGCGUCCGAUUAGCUAGUUGGCGGGGUAACGGCCCACCAAGGCGACGAUCGGUAGCCGGCCUGAGAGGGCGGACGGCCACACUGGGACUGCGACACGGCCCAGACUCCUACGGGAGGCAGCAGUGGGGAAUUUUCGUCAAUGGGCGCAAGCCUGACGACGCAACGCCGCGUGGAGGACGAAGAUCUCGGGUCGUAAACUCCUGUCGAGCGGGACGAAUGGCCCGCGACCGAAUACGUCGCGGGAGUGACGGUACCGCUAGAGGAAGCCCCGGCUAACUCCGUGCCAGCAGCCGCUGUAA
rnacentral:rRNA from 1 species